rnacentral:lncRNA from 1 species
CAUAAAGCACCAAGCUGUCGCAUUGCGUGUGCAAUCCGACUUCUCCAUCUUCUACAACUGCCACAUGGAUGGAUUCCAAGACACCCUCUACACCGAAGCCUACCGCCAAUUCUACCGCGACUGCACCAUCACUGGCACCAUAGACUUCAUCUUCGGCGAUGGGGUGACUUUGUUCCAAAACUGCAAGAUGAUGGUGAGAAAACCAGCGGAAGGACAGUCUUGCAUGGUGACAGCACAAGGCAGGACCGACCACAACGAGAUCACCGGCAUGUUCCUCCAAAACUGCACUAUCACCGGUGAGCCGGACUAUAUGAAUGUGAAGGAAAAGAGCAAGGCAUAUUUGGGGAGGCCAUGGAAAGACUUUGCAAGGGUGAUUGUGAUGCAGUCAUCCAUUGACGAAGCCAUUGUACCUGAAGGGUGGUCAGAAUGGGUUGGUAAAAAAACCAACCAAACCUGCUUCUUUGGUGAGUACGGCAACCGGGGUCCUAGGGCUGACAUGACCAAAAGGGUCAGAUGGCCGACCGUCAAGGCGCUCACUUCUGAUAAAGUCGCGGCUUUCACCCCUGCUAAGGUGUUUCUAGGUGUUGAUUGGCUGAAGCCCAGUGGGGUUCCAUAUGUUCCUGGCAUGAUGUCCGUGUAGAUCCCAAAUGAAAAGCUUGGGACACCAAUUUUUUCAUAUAAUGUUACAAGGCCAAUGUUUCAUGUAUAAAAAAAAAAAAAACAAAUUAGUGAUAUUGUCUUGUGAUUUUGCGGAAUACCUUUUUCAUUCCAAUUACACAUACGAAUCGAGUUAUGAAAUUAAUUUUUUUAUAGAGAUGAUAGAUAAAACCGUUUUUGAGAUUCUAGAGAUUUUGUGAAUAAUUAUGUAUGAGAUCAUUUUUAAUAGUAUUAAAAAAAUAUAUCAAGAAAUUUAUUUUUGGACAAGUAUUAAUGCCAUAAAGCAAAACCUAUAACAACAAUUGAAGCAAACUUUAAAACACAUUGAUUUUCAAUCAACAAAACUUAUCAUCACUUUUGCAAAAUAUCAUUAGAUAACAAGUAACAACCAAAAGAACUUCAAACUAAAAACCAGCAUCAAAUAACUAACACUCAAUGAGGUGACCUUCUGAGUCUUCCCUUCUGAAUCUGUCACUGUCCUUGCAUUUAAUGCAUCGAAAUGCAGAUUGGACUUACUAGUGGUCCCUCCAUUGGGGCGACAUGUGGCAAUGAGGUGACUUCCGUAAGCCUACUUGUGUCAUGACACGGCCGAGUACCAUGCUUGGUUUGCAAGUUGGUGAGCGUCUCAUCUAUCAGUGUUUCUGACCUUUCAUGGAUUCUUGUUCCCUCAUUUGGCCAUGACGCAUAUAAGGUUGUCGCCUGAAUAGACUGGUCGGUCCUUCUCUUGGGGUAUUGUGUCCACAAGCUGUCAUAAGUUAUUCCAUUCCUUGGUGCUCGAACAAUAUUGUUGAAACCAAAUUUGCGCACUGCCACGGAUGGUGGAGGCACAAAUCCUAACAAUUUGUAAAAUAGAGAAUAAUUGUGAGCAAGCCUAAGACUAGGGAAUGGGGAUGUGCCGACCAAAGACUAUUCGACAGUUAAGUUAGAAAGCAAGUUUUAAGACUCAAACAGUGGACAAAAGAAUUACAGUACAGAGAUUGCAUUACCAAUGAGCAACCCUAGAUGAGCGUAUUUAAGAGAAACUUUUUUAGGAUAAAAUUCUCGUUCUAAGCUGGGAGAAUCUUAUAGGAUAUCUAGAAGUAGAUAUUGCACCUUUUUAGAAAUUGUGAUUAUUUGCGGCGUAUGUCAAUUCCUAGAUUAUAGGAACUCCAAGACUCAUAACAUUUUUCACAAAUUUUACAGAUAUUGUGUCUUGCAGAGCAAGCAUGGUCAUUCUAGCAAAGUCGUUUGGACUUCACCUUAUAGUCCCGGAACAGGAUAAUGGUGGCAUCAUUGCUCUGUCUGAUCCAGUUCCGCUUGGAACUGUUGAGUCCAUGACUAAACUUCUGAGGUAAGUAUUCCGAUCAACCUUACUCCAACCCUAAAAAAUAAUGGUCCAUAAUUACCCCUAAAUAUUUAUCUGAAAGGUAACAUGUUCCCCUUAAAGAUGAAUAGUUAACCAAAGACCAUGCUUUUCGAAAUAAGUUGGGAUACGUACCGUUUAGUCUUCUUUCUUUGUGUGAUAAUCCAAUUCCUUGGGGCGUAGUGUGGACGUUUUGGAUUCAGACGUGUGGUCUUGAGUGUCAUGCCAUAAAGUUUGGAAUGAUAAUGAGUGUUGUGUGGGCAUAUUCCGCCAGAGGAGGCCAUUCAUACCUUUGGGUGACAUUGAUCUUCAUAUGCACAAAUCUCAAGGUAAAUAAUGUUUCAUAUUCGACUGCGAGAUCCUUAGGUACUUUGUCUUUAAAUACACCUUUCAUGGCAAGGUUUCUUCAGAUUUUCUUUCCCUCUGUCUACACCAUGAAGCCUCAUCAUUUACUUCAUGAUCUUUUUUUUUAACCCAGUUUUCUCUUUGAGCCUUCAAUGUUUAGGAUCCUAAAACCAGAAAGAAACAUUUCCUGCCUUCUGGCCAUAACAUGUAGGGACAAUAUUUAUAUAUCCAAACAAGGAUUUACUUGUUAGAAAAUGAUAGGAAACAUUGAUACUAGUUGUCAGUGUUUUUCCAUGGAAACGUUAUUGUUAGAGGAACACACUUUUUUAAUAUUACUCCUCCUUUCGUUUGAUUUUACAAUAGUCUAACUACAUUUUACACCCUUCUCGUUUGAGGUGGUUUUCAAAAUGGACCAUGAUGUUCAAAUUUUGUCAUAUUACACAUUUUAAGUUUUGAAAUUGUAUCAAUUUACACCUUCUGUCUCUUCAAAUAUCUAAUCUUCCAUUUUUUUAGUACAAUGAUAUAUUUUAUACUAAGGGGAGGGAAAAUUUGACUAAGCCACACAAUGGGUAACCUAAUUUGGUAUCAAAUUCGCUAUUCACGAGAUUCAAACUUUUUUUUACAAAGUGGUACUAAUGUGGCUUAUAUGUUAGCCUAUAUAAAGAUCUCAUGCUCAUAAGUCAUCAACUUAAUUAAAGACCAAACAGUCAAUCUGACCAAUGGCACUACGAAAAAACUUGUUAAAUGCAACGCUAAAAUCUUGUCAUGUAAAACCAUGAAAACGUCACAAUUGCGUUUUACCGAUGGCCAUGCGACACUUGUGUUUGCAUCGCAACAAACCUGUGUCGUAAAAGUUUUCCCUUCUUAUUGCGACACAUUGUUAGCAUCGCAAAGUUAUUUUGUGACAGCUCUGUGACACAAAAUUAAUGUCGCAAUUGCUUUGAUGUGGAAUUAAACAAAAUAUUUGGGACAUGUUUGAUCCGUAGUAAAUGUUUAAACCCUACAAUUUAGUUUUGUUGGAAUACAAACAUGUUGGGGAAAUUAAAUUUUCUAUGAAAGCAUUAAACUACAAUUUUUAAUCUUAUACACAAUCGUGCUAAUAUCAAAAGUAAAUAAUAUAUGCACGAAAAAAAUUGUGCUUUAUAAUUGCUAACAUUAAAAAUACAUCAUCCAUAUAUCCUAAUUUAUAAUCCUACUAAAGAGUCAAAUGUCAAUUACGAAAAAUCUUGUCCCAAAAUUGCAUGAACAUAUUCUUUAUUCCAAACCUCAAGGCCGUAAAAUGUAGCUAACCCUUUUAUAUUUCAUAAGCAUCAAGUUUUUUUUUUCUUUUUUGUUAAACGUUGUCACAGUUGUUUUUAGUUUUAAGAUUUAUCAAGCUCUUAUAAAAGCAGUACCAAGAAGCCCAUCAUAAUUGGGUUCACGCAAUAUAUGAAGUCCAAAGUUCCUUUCUUUUUACCCCCUUGGGAUGAGUGGUGGAAAAAGAGAGGUGGGCCCCCUUUUAUUUAGUUUUAAUUUAAUCAUUUGUUUAAAAUAAAAACUAAUAAAAAGAACUUGAAAACUUUGAGUUUUAACGAUAAGAACAAAAUUGUUUAAAUUGUUUUUUGAUAAUCAAUUAUUUUUCAUAUGCUACGUCAUCAAAUAUGUGGGUCAUGCAUUUAUCACGUCAUCAUUUAAUGGUCAAAUUAACCGUUUAACUAACUGACGUAUUAAAUUGUAACAAAAUAUAAGUUUGUGUAUGAGAUUGAAAUAUUUUAAAAAUGUUGUAUGAGGUUGCAAUUGCACCCAAACCCGAAGGAGCAAAAUGUCAUUUACUCUUGUUUUAGUUUUAAGAUUUAUCAAGCUUUUAUAAAAGCAGUACCAAGAAGCCCAUCAUAAUUGGGUUCACGCAGUAUAUGAAGUCCAAAGUUCAUUUCUUUUGGUCACCUAAUGACGAAUAAGGAUUUAUGGUCACUUAUCUUUGAAUUUGAUGGUAAAAGUUGAGAUAAAAACACUAGAAGCAUAUUCAUUUGUUUCCCAUCCUUUGAUAUCAAAUCCAAAAGUGGGUGAACAUGGCAAGGGAACACUUCUUAUGAAAUUCAUAACCAUGUCUUGUACAAAUAGCAAGAUUCUAAAAUGGGUUAGGCGCUAGUAGAGCGGCUGGCUAGGACCUAGUGCCCUGGCAGUUUUUUUUUUUUUUUUUUUAAUAAAAUUUUAUUAUAUAACAUAUAAAUAAAUGUCUAUUUAUAUUCAAAAAUAUAUAUCAAUAUUGGAAUACAUAAUUGCAAAAUCAGUGACAUAUAGCUUAUAAAGUUUAGAACAUAUUUAAAACAUGGAGAAUAAACAUAUACUGAGUGUUCAGCUAAAUAUUCAAUAAGUUUCUUACAAUUUUUUUUUUUUAUAAAUAAAAUGCAAAAUGAAAAUUAUCUAUUUUUUCUAUGUAAGUGGGAGUUGUGACCUAUGUGGGUUUAGGUGGGCUAGGCAAGUCUACGCGUCAUUCUUAAUUUUCAAACGUCUAAAAAUUAAUCGAGAAGGAGACCAUCCUCCUAGUCUAGGCGGGACAUAUGCAGUGCUAAGCUGAAAUGUGUAGAACAGUGACAAAUAGGUAUAUGAACAAUGUAAAGCGAGUUAAAUGGUCAAACUCUCAACCCAUAUAUAACGUUCUAUUCAAUUUAAUUUUCACAAACAUAAGUAUAAUGGUUUGUGAACUUUACACGAAAACCACUUAAAUAUAAAAUAAAUUCAUUGUUGUUGCAUCCAAAUUCAUUAUUUUCAUUCCUUCCAUCAUUGAAUUCUUACCAUAAUUUAAAAUAUAAAAAAAUACUCAUAUAUUUGUAACUAUACAAUAAAAUAAAAUAAAUAAAAAAAUAGGCAUCGCAUGUCGUCGGAUAAUUUGUCAAGUCGUGAAACUUUACUGGCAGUUGGCAGAUAAUUUUGGCAUCGCAUGUCGUCCGAUACUUCGGCAUGCGCCUAUAACAAUUAGCAUGUCACAUCGUCGGAUAAUUUGGCAUGUUGAAAAUUGAGUGGUAGUUGAUGGAAGAUAAUUUGAAAUGCUACAUUAAUUCUAGCCAGGCACUGGUAAUCCACUUUUGAAGGAGCCACUGUUAAGCAUUGCCAAUCAUCUGUAUGCUCCAAAUUUGGAAGAAAAAAGUAAGAACAAGAACGACCCCUAGUUUUGUCAUGAGUCGAGACCAAUGAUCUCCCCACCUCACAUUUUCUAACAGAAAUAACCGUCAUUCGGAGCUCCUGUCUUUAUAAAUACCUCCAUGACACCACUUUGGGAAGCAGGGGGCACAAAAAGUAAGUAUUAUCCAGUACACCCAAUAAGUGACCCCAACAGCUCUGCAGCAACUCACCUGAAUAAGAAAUCUUACUGGUUUCAUUUUCACCACCAGAAUCUACAGAAAAUAAAUAUUAGUUAGAUUUUUAGCUAUUUAUAUAUAUUAUUCCAAACAUGGGCGGAGCAGACGGAUCUAACAAAAAAAAAGUCGCCAUCAUUGGCGCCUCCGCACUGAUUCUGGUGGCAAUGGUAGUUGCUGUAACUGUUGGGGUCACAGUGUCACGCCGCGACAGAGGGUCGUCUGACGGCCACACCUCCACGUCCACAAAGGCGGUCCAGGCCAUUUGCCAGCCCACAGACUACAAAAAGACCUGCGAGGAAAGCCUUGCAGGCGCGGCCGGCAACGUCACCGAUCCCAAAGAGCUUAUCAAAGUAGGGUUCCAAGUCGCCAUGGACAAGCUCCGCGGUGUCAUCGAGAAGUCCGUCACGUUGAAGGAGCUGGCCAAGGACCCGAGCACAGGCGACGCACUCCAGAACUGCAAGGAGCUCCUGGAGUACGCCAUCGAUGAUUUGAGUGACUCGUCCGAAAGGCUCGGGGCCUUUGACAUGAGCAAGCUCGAUCUUUACGUGGAGGAUCUCAAGGUGUGGCUCAGCGCCGCCAUGACAUACGAGCAGACUUGCUUAGAUGGGUUUGAGAACACCACCGGUGACGCCGGUGAGAAGAUGAGACAGUUCUUGAAGACAUCGCAAGAGCUCACCAAUAACGCCCUUGCCAUGGCCGAUGGAGUUUCCACGAUGUUCGGGGCUCUUAAUGUUAAAUCCGGCCGCAGACUUCUUGAGGCUGCAGCUGGAACUGCUGUGAAGAAGUUCCAAAAGGCUAAGGUCAUUCCCGCUUGGAUUGAUAGCCGAAGGCUUGAAUUGGCUACCGCCACUCCUCAGACGCUGAAACCCGAUGUGGUGGUGGCCAAGAACGGGGGUGGUAAGUACAAAACUGUCAACGAAGCCUUGAAGGAUAUCCCAAAGAACAACGCAGUGAAGGUCUUUGUGAUUUAUGUCAAGGAGGGAGUGUAUGAGGAGCAGGUCAUUUUUGAUAAGCACAUGACCAAUGUCAUGCUUAUCGGAGAUGGCCCCACUAAGACCGUGAUCACCGGUAGAAAGAACUUUGCAGAGGGUACCAUGACCAUGCAGACUGCCACAGUUGGUAAGUCAAUCUUUUCCUCUCUAAUCAGACAUAAGUUGAUCUGACAUGUGAUAUUAUCAAACUAUGAAUUAAUACGUUCAAUCUAACGUGCAUAUUAUAUUAGUAUAUUACCAUAUUGUGUACGAGGUCAUCAAACAUGAUUAUACUUUUAUCAAUAGUUUAGAUUCACAGUAUAAUUGGUAUGUACAAUAUAUUUGUAAGUUUAGAUUCAAAAUAUGAUUGGUAUGUACAAUAUAUUUACAGGUGUUGUGGGAGACUACUUCAUUGCCAAGGACAUUGGAUUUGAGAACACAGCCGGAGCCAUUGGACACCAAGCCGUGGCUCUACGUGUCCAGUCAGACUUGUCCAUCUUCUACAACUGCAAGAUGGACGGGUACCAAGACACCCUGUACACCCAAACCUACAGGCAAUUCUACCGCGACUGCACCAUUAGUGGAACCAUCGACUUCAUCUUUGGUGAUGCUGCCGCCGUGUUCCAAAACUGCAAGAUGAUCGUCAGG